rnacentral:lncRNA from 1 species
GUAAAGGUUUGUUAAGCACCCGGAAGCUUGACAAGUUAGUGGAAAUCUCGAGAGAGUCUCUCGGGGACUGGACUAGCCACGGGUUGUGGUGAAUCAGAAUACUUCGGUGUGUUCUUUCUUAUUUAUCGCACUUAUUUAUUUCGUGCAAAUUUUAAAUUCCGCAAGUUUACGCUAAUUUUUAUUAUAACGCUAUUCACCC